rnacentral:pre_miRNA from 1 species
AUACAAAUCACUUGGGGAUCAUGUUAAAAUUCAGAUUCUGUGUUCAUAGGUACAGGGUGAAACCUGAGAUUCUGAAUUUUUAACAUGCUCCCAGGUGAUGCUGCU